AGCGAACGCUGGCGGCAGGCUUAACACAUGCAAGUCGAGCGCCGUAGCAAUACGGAGCGGCAGACGGGUGAGUAACACGUGGGAACGUACCUUUUGGUUCGGAACAACACAGGGAAACUUGUGCUAAUACCGGAUAAGCCCUUAAGGGGAAAGAUUUAUCGCCGAAGGAUUGGCCCGCGUCUGAUUAGCUAGUUGGUAGGGUAAUGGCCUACCAAGGCGACGAUCAGUAGCUGGUCUGAGAGGAUGAUCAGCCACACUGGGACUGAGACACGGCCCAGACUCCUACGGGAGGCAGCAGUGGGGAAUAUUGGACAAUGGGCGCAAGCCUGAUCCAGCCAUGCCGCGUGAGUGAUGAAGGCCUUAGGGUUGUAAAGCUCUUUCGCGCGCGACAAUAAUGACGGUAGCGUGAGAAGAAGCCCCGGCUAACUUCGUGCCAGCCGCCGCCGUAAAAC
rnacentral:rRNA from 1 species